rnacentral:rRNA from 1 species
CCUACGGGUGGCAGCAGUGAGGAAUAUUGGUCAAUGGACGCAAGUCUGAACCAGCCAUGCCGCGUGCAGGAUGACGGCUCUAUGAGUUGUAAACUGCUUUUGUACGAGGGUAAACCCCGAUACGUGUAUCGGGUUGAAAGUAUCGUACGAAUAAGGAUCGGCUAACUCCGUGCCAGCAGCCGCGGUAAUACGGUGGAUGCGAGCGUUAUCCGGAUUUAUUGGGUUUAAAGGGUGCGUAGGCGGAAUGCCAAGUCAGCGGUAAAAUCGCGGGGCUCAACCUCGCUCCGCCGUUGAAACUGGCGUUCUUGAGUGGGCGAGAAGUAUGCGGAAUGCGUGGUGUAGCGGUGAAAUGCAUAGAUAUCUGGAGGAACAUCAGUGGCGAAGGCGACUAUCUGGCACAUAACUGACGCUGAGGAGCGAAAGCGUGGGUAGCAAACAGGAUUAGAUACCCCUGUAGUC